UUAUUCAAGCUUAAGCCCAUCGAGCUAACAAAUAUGUGCCUUUUACUUUUUCUGUAUAGUUAUCAUUGUAUUUGAGUGUUGUUUUUUUAUUUUAAUUAUUCAGCUCUGAAUUUCAGAGGAUUGGUUGCAUCUGGACAUGGCAAAAUCCAGUAAAUAGAGUUGAUCGGACACCUGGAUGUUCGGGUCCGGCGGGUUCGGCCGAACUUUGAAAAAAAGUUGCUCAGGCACUUUGUUGACUCUAGAGAACCUCGGGCCAAUCACACAUCCCCGUGACGGCGACUUUGCAUUCGGAUGUCAUCCUUAUAAACUUUCGAUGCCAGUUUCUGCGCCUUCCAGGGUGACUACUGGUAACAGGGAAUAAGGGUUCCAUUCCAUACAGGGACUCUGAGAAAUGGCUACCACAUGCAAGGAAGGCAGCAGGCGCGCAAAUGACCCACUCCCGACGCGGGAAGGUAGUGACGACAAAUUACAAUACAGGACUCUCUAGAGGCCCUGUAAUUGUAAUGAGUCCACUUGAAAUCCUUUAACUCUGAUCAAUUGGAGAGAAGUCUGGUGCAGAGCCACU